CACGCCCCUUCUUAAUCUCUAAACGCGACGCGCCCUGAGUUUGUGCUGUUAGUACAAAGAAACAACUGCUUAUUUGUAUGCACAUAUCUAUUUUACGGUGAGAACGCGAGGCCUUGGGUGAAUUAUGUUGCCUCUGCUGUACCUCUAGCCAUUGGACAAGGGCAAGGCUAGUGGUAAGAGCAGCUGACUGUCUCUUUACAGCUCACACUCUCAGUCACAGCGGAGGACAUGGACCUAACCGGAAUAGGUGACCAUAUUGCAGCUAAUGGCAGGGUCUGACUCUCUAUGUAGUGUUGAGAAGGGCUUCUACGAUGGUGUCUUCCUGGAGGAAGACGAUGACGUCAUCCUUCGUCAAACAUGUCCAUACAAAGACCAAUCAUGCAGCUGUUCACCAACUAAUUUUAUGCCUUACACAACUCAGCACAUAUAUUCUGCCCUCUCUAUAGAUUAUGCUGAUGCCCCACCGUAAGAACCUGUAGCUCUUUACUGGUUCUGUGGGAGGUGACGUGGCCACAAAUCAGUGCCUGGGACACCUUACAGUGCUACCACUGUCUGAACAACAGCCAAAGGGUGGUCAAGACAUCUACUGCAACUUCAUCUUUAGUGUGUCUGCUCUGCUGCACCUGGGAGAUAAAGAUGGCUCUGGCUUGCUGAUGACAUCUGAUCUGAUCUGACUCCUUGCAAUUUGACUCCUGUAUUACUGACUAUAUUAAAUAAAACUUCCAAUGCC
ensembl:lncRNA